AGUAGGAACACCUACAAAAAGAAAAUUUCAUCCACAAGAAAGGAAUGAGAUGCAAGAAGCUAUGAUAUUUUGACUAAAAGACUACCUCAGCAAUAAAUUAUCUAAUGUAGGACUUGGAGGCCAAAACUUAUGAGAAAAACCUCCACGUGAUGUGUGUUUUAAAAAGAAAGCCCAGAAAUUACAAC